UCAGGCUGAGGACAUUCAACAGAUUGCAGACUGUUGUCCAGCACCUAUCACAACAGAUGUCCAAGCAAGCUGGCUCCGAUGCUGAGGUACUACUACAAAAAUCGGGACAUGCAGGAGUAAUAACAAUGAACCGGCCAAAAGCACUAAAUGCUCUGAAUCUGUCUAUGAUUAGACUGAUAUAUCCACAAUUAAAGGCAUGGGAACAAGAUCCUGAAACCUCUUUUGUGAUGAUCAGAGGAGUAGGAGGAAAAGCAUUCUGUGCAGGAGGAGAUAUCCGGGGUA